AUUGAACGCUGGCGGCAUGCUUUACACAUGCAAGUCGAACGGUAACAGGCCGCAAGGUGCUGACGAGUGGCGAACGGGAGAGUAAUGCAUCGGAACGUGCCCAGACGUGGGGGAUAACUACUCGAAAGAGUAGCUAAUACCGCAUAAGAUCUAUGGAUGAAAGCGGGGGACUGGAAGGACUCGCGCGAUUGGAGCGGCCGAUGUGAGAUCAGGUAGUUGGUGGGGUAAAGGCUCACCAAGGCAACGAUCUGUAGCUGGUCUGAGAGGACGACCAACCACACUGCGACUGAGACACGGCCCACACCCCUACGGGAGGCAGCAGUGGGGAAUUUUGGACAAUGGGCGCAAGCCUGAUCCAGCAAUGCCGCGAGCAGGAAGAAGGCCUUCGGGUUGUAAACUGCUUUUGUACGGAACAAAACGGCUCUGGUUAAUACCCCGGGCUAAUGACGGUACCGUAAGAAUAAGCACCGGCUAACUACGUG
rnacentral:rRNA from 1 species